rnacentral:rRNA from 1 species
AUGCAAGUCGAACGGUAACAUUUCUAGCUUGCUAGAAGAUGACGAGUGGCGGACGGGUGAGUAAUGCUUGGGAACUUGCCUUUGCGAGGGGGAUAACAGUUGGAAACGACUGCUAAUACCGCAUAAUGUCUUCGGACCAAACGGGGCUUCGGCUCCGGCGCAAAGAGAGGCCCAAGUGAGAUUAGCUAGUUGGUAAGGUAACGGCUUACCAAGGCGACGAUCUCUAGCUGUUCUGAGAGGAAGAUCAGCCACACUGGGACUGAGACACGGCCCAGACUCCUACGGGAGGCAGCAGUGGGGAAUAUUGCACAAUGGGGGAAACCCUGAUGCAGCCAUGCCGCGUGUGUGAAGAAGGCCUUCGGGUUGUAAAGCACUUUCAGUUGUGAGGAAAAGUUAGUAGUUAAUACCUGCUAGCCGUGACGUUAACAACAGAAGAAGCACCGGCUAACUCCGUGCCAGCAGCCGCGGUAAUACGGAGGGUGCGAGCGUUAAUCGGAAUUACUGGGCGUAAAGCGCACGCAGGCGGUUUGUUAAGCUAGAUGUGAAAGCCCCGGGCUCAACCUGGGAUGGUCAUUUAGAACUGGCAGACUAGAGUCUUGGAGAGGGGAGUGGAAUUCCAGGUGUAGCGGUGAAAUGCGUAGAUAUCUGGAGGAACAUCAGUGGCGAAGGCGACUCCCUGGCCAAAGACUGACGCUCAUGUGCGAAAGUGUGGGUAGCGAACAGGAUUAGAUACCCUGGUAGUCCACACCGUAACGCUGUCUACUAGCUGUGUGUGUCUUUAAGCGUGCGUAGCGAAGCUAACGCGCUAGUAGACCGCCUGGGGAGACGGCCGCAAGGUUAAACUCAAUGAAUUGACUGUGGCCCGCACAGCGGUGGAGCAUGUGGUUUAUUCUAUGCACGCGAGACCUUACCUACACUUGACAUGCUGAGAGUACUAGAG